rnacentral:rRNA from 1 species
AAUGAACGCUGGCGGCGUGCUUAACACAUGCAAGUCGAGCGAGAAAAUCGACUUCGGUCGAUGAGUAAAGCGGCGAACGGGUGAGUAACACGUGGGUAACCUGCCCUGGAUGGGGGAUAACCUGGGGAAACUCGGGCUAAUACCGCAUACACCUCAGCACUGCGGUGCUGAGAGGAAAGCUGGCCAAUUCUUGAAAGCUGGCGCUCCUGGAGGGGCCCGCGCCCGAUUAGCUUGUUGGUGAGGUAACGGCUCACCAAGGCGGUGAUCGGUAGCCGGCCUGAGAGGGUGAUCGGCCACACUGGGACUGAGACACGGCCCAGACUCCUACGGGAGGCGGCAGUGGGGAAUAUUGGACAAUGGGCGCAAGCCUGAUCCAGCAACGCCGCGUGGAGGACGAAGGCCUUCGGGUCGUAAACUCCUGUCAGUUGGGACGAAAAGUCGUCGGUCAAUAGCCGGCGAUCAUGACGGUACCAGCAGAGGAAGCCCCGGCUAACUCCGUG